rnacentral:rRNA from 1 species
CGCCUACGGGGGGCAGCAGUGGGGAAUAUUGCACAAUGGGGGAAACCCUGAUGCAGCAACGCCGCGUGAGUGAGGAAGUAUUUCGGUAUGUAAAGCUCUAUCAGCAGGGAAUAGAAAAGAAGGUACCUGAAAAAGAAGCACCGGCUAAAUACGUGCCAGCAGCCGCGGUAAUACGUAUGGUGCAAGCGUUAUCCGGAUUUACUGGGUGUAAAGGGAGCGCAGGCGGCGCGUUAAGCCUGGUGUGAAAGCCCGCGGCCCAACCGCGGGACUGCAUUGGGAACUGGCGCGCUGGAGUGCCGGAGGGG